rnacentral:tRNA from 1 species
GCCCGGGUGGCGGAAUGGCAGACGCAGAGGGCUUAAACCCCUCGGGUCCUUUGGGAUCGUGCGGGUUCGAGUCCCGCCCUGGGCA